UUUCCGUAGGUGAACCUGCGGAAGGAUCAUUAUUGAAUAACAGAGGUGCGAGGGCUGUCGCUGACGCGAAAGGUCGUGCACGCCCGAGUGCCCUCACACACAUUCAUCUCACCCCUAUGUGCACCACCGCGUGGGUCCCCCUUUGGCUUGUUCGGAGGGGGGCUUACGUUUUCACACAAACUUUGUAUGCAGUGUAGAAUGUAUUUUAUCUUUUUGCGAUCACGCAAUCAAUACAACUUUCAACAACGGAUCUCUUGGCUCUU
rnacentral:misc_RNA from 1 species